AGAAUGAACGCUAGCGAUAUGCUUAACACAUGCAAGUUGAACGUUGUUUUCGAAUCAGAAUGAGAACAAAGUAGCGAACGGGUGCGUAACACGUGGGAAUCUGCCAAACAGUUUGGGCCAAAUCCCGAAUGAAUAAAAGCUAAAAAGCGCUGUUUGAUGAGCCCACGUAGUAUUAGGUAGUUGGUUAGGUAAAAGCUGACCAAGCCUACGAUGCUUAGCUGGUCUUUUCGGAUGAUCAGCCACACUGGGACUGAGACACGGCCCAGACUCCUACGGGAGGCAGCAGUGGGGAAUCUUGGACAAUGGGCGAAAGCCUGAUCCGGCAAUAUGGCGUGAGUGAAGAAGGGCAACGCAGCUUGUAAAGCUCUUUCAUCGAGUGUGCGAUUGUGACAAGACUCGAAUAAGAAGCCCCGGCUAACUCCGUGCCAGCAGCCGC
rnacentral:rRNA from 1 species